AACGAACGCUAGCGGGAUGCCUCAAACAUGCAAGUCGAACGAGAAAGUACCUUCGGGUGCGAGUAAAGUGGCGCACGGGUGCGUAACACGUAGCUAACCUACCCCUUCGCUGGGGAUAACUUCGGGAAACCGAAGCUAAUACCGAAUGAUCUGAUACGGUCUGCGGACUGUAUCGGUAAAGCCUUCGGGCGCGAAGAGAUGGGGCUGCGGUCCAUUAGCUUGAUGGUGGGGUAAUGGCCUACCAUGGCGACGAUGGAUAGCUGGUCUGAGAGGAUGAUCAGCCACACUGGAACUGGAACACGGUCCAGACUCCCACGGGAGGCAGCAGUUGGGAAUAUUGGACAAUGGGGUGACCCCUGAUCCAGCAAUCCCGCGUGAGUGAUGAAGGCUCUAGGGUCGUAAAGCUCUUUCAACAGGGAAGAAGGGAAACUUGACGGUACCUGUAGAAGAAGCACCGGCUAACUCCG
rnacentral:rRNA from 1 species